rnacentral:rRNA from 1 species
UACGUAGGGGGCAAGCGUUGUCCGGAUUCAUUGGGCGUAAAGGGUGCGUAGGUGGCAUGGUUAGUCGGGUGUGAAAUCCCGGGGCUCAACCCCGGAACUGCACUCGAUACUGCCGUGCUGGAGUACUGGAGAGGAGACUGGAAUUUACGGUGUAGCAGUGAAAUGCGUAGAUAUCGUAAGGAAGACCGGUGGCGAAAGCUAGUCUCUGGACAGUCACUGACACUGAGGCACGAAGGCUAGGGGAGCAAACGGG